CAAGUGUUAAGUCUUGAUGAAUUAUUUUAUUAUUUGUAUUUUUUAGUAUUCAAGAUUCUUAUGAAUCUCAUUUUUAUCCUUUAAGGCAUGUUCUAUUAUUCUAUUAGGCAAUAAAAUAACAAUGCCUAUUUUGGGAAUAGAAAUCUCUUGGGUCCAUGGCGUAUCUUUAGAAUUUCUACACCGUGGAUUUACGUCAAUGGAUGAUAAAUCUUUGGUUCUUGAGGAUGUCCAACUAGUGUAUAAAAGCCAAUUGUCAAGAUAAUAACUUGGAUGUUUCUCAAUUUUCACAUUUGUUUUGAAUUCUCUGCCAAAGUCAUAUAUUUAUCUUUUAGGGGGAAAUCAUGUUAGUGAAAAUAAGCACAUGUCUCCAAGUCCGAAAGCCAGAACUUAACAGGGCAAUGAUAAAGGAAAUCAGAGGGUCACCGAAGUCUUACAAGUGGAAGAGAAUGGAAAAGAAAAAUGCAAAUGUGUUCAGUAUUAUUCUACAACUCAAAUCAUAAAAGAGAUGGUAUGAUGAGGCAAAAAGAAGCUCAAGAAAAUGGCAUAAAAUGGUCAUCUAUGAACUUUUAGAUUUUGCCUUCUCAGUAUUUCAGUUUCUUUAUCUAAAGUGAGUAUGGAACUGUGAAGGCAAAUAUAAUGAGUUGUAAGGAAGAUAAUCAGUCUCUCCCUUUCUCUCUCUCCCUUUCCUUGUUUUUCAAUUAAAAUGAAAAUCUUCGUGAAAUGCAAGAACUGCUUAUACUGGAUUAAAGGUAAUAUACAAUGGUACUUCCUUGUUAUGUUAGAGCAAAAUAAUGUAAUAACUACUAAUUUAUACAAUAUACUUAUAUUUAAAAAACAAAAAUACUAUCAAUCAUAGAAAAUAUUGUAAAUACCAAUAAAGUGGUAAAAAAGCUUGAGCGAUUUUCA
rnacentral:lncRNA from 1 species